AGUGGCGGACGGGUGAGUAACGCGUGGGUAACCUGCCCUGUACUGGGGGACAACAGUUAGAAAUGACUGCUAAUACCGCAUAAGCGCACAGGACCGCAUGGUCCGGUGUGAAAAACUCCGGUGGUAUGAGAUGGACCCGCGUCUGAUUAGCUGGUUGGCGGGGUAACGGCCCACCAAGGCGACGAUCAGUAGCCGACCUGAGAGGGUGGCCGGCCACAUUGGGACUGAGACACGGCCCAAACUCCUACGGAAGGCAGCAG
rnacentral:rRNA from 1 species